rnacentral:rRNA from 1 species
CAAACGAACCUAAAAUUUAGGGUAUUAUUUCGGCUAAUAUUUUUCGUAAGACGUUUGUUGGUUUUUAAUUAAGAAACAUUGAUUUUUUAUUAAUAAAGGAAUAUUAAAAAUUUAUUUUUAGAUUAAAAGUUAAAAUUUAUCAAUAAAUUCAGAAUAAUAAAGUUUUAAUUGUUUUAGAUUUUGUUUUUAAGAUGAAAAAAUAAUUUAAGUGCCAGCAUUUGCGGUUAUACUUAAUUUAAAAAUCAUGUUAAUUUUAAAAAUAUUAAAUACUUUUUUUUUGGUUUAAUAAAAAAAUUUAUUUUAUAAAAUAAUUUUUAAUAAAAAAGAAUUAGAUACUCUUGUAUAAAAUUAAAAAUUAGAAUUAAGUAGUUUAAAAAUAAACUGAAAUUAUUUGGCAGUUCGUUACAAUUAUUAAGGGAAACAUGGGCGUUAAAUGAUGAUCCCCACAUUAAUUUUCUUUUUUUUAUUGGUAGUGUAAGGUUGUAAACAUUUUUUUUAGAAAAACGUAAACAAAAUUUUUUAAUGCAAAUCUUUUUGCUCCUUUUAAAAGAUUUUCCUUUGUUAUAAUUUUUAAAUUUUGGAUAAAUUUAAGUUUUUAAAUUUUAAAAGAGGAUUUUAUAGUAUUAGUAAAUAAUUAGUUAUUUAGAAUUUAAUUUUAACGUGUGUACACAUCGCCCGUCAAUUUUUUUUUAUAAAAAAAUAAGUCGUAACAUAGUAGAAAAAAUAGAAAUUUUUUCUA